rnacentral:rRNA from 1 species
GGUGGGUUUCCCACCACCCAUGUGACUUACCUUUUGUUGCCUCUGCAGAAGUUAUAGGUCUUCUUAUAGCUGCUGCCGGGGGACCAUUAAACUCUUGUUAUUUUAUGUAAUCUGAGCGUCUUAUUUUAAUAAGUCAAAACUUUCAACAACGGAUCUCUUGGUUCUGGCAUCGAUGAAGAACGCAGCGAAAUGCGAUAAGUAAUGUGAAUUGCAGAAUUCAGUGAAUCAUCGAAUCUUUGAACGCACAUUGCGCCCAUUAGUAUUCUAGUGGGCAUGCCUGUUCGAGCGUCAUUUCAACCCUUAAGCCUAGCUUAGUGUUGGGAAUCUACUUCUCUUAGGAGUUGUAGUUCCUGAAAUACAACGGCGGAUUUGUAGUAUCCUCUGAGCGUAGUAAUUUUUUUCUCGCUUUUGUUAGGUGCUAUAACUCCCAGCCGCUAAACCCCCAAUUUUUUUGUGGUUGACCUCGGAUCAGGUAGGAAUACCCGCUGAACUUAAGCAUAUCAAU